ACUCAAAUGAAUUGACGGGGGCCCGCACAAGCGGAGGAACAUGUGGUUUAAUUCGAUGAUACGCGAGGAACCUUACCCGGGCUUGAAUUGCAGAGGAAGGAUUUGGAGACAAUGACGCCCUUCGGGGCCUCUGUGAAGGUGCUGCAUGGUUGUCGUCAGCUCGUGCCGUGAGGUGUCGGCUUAAGUGCCAUAACGAGCGCAACCCCUCUCCUUAGUUGCCAUCAGGUUAAGCUGGGCACUCUGGGGACACUGCCACCGUAAGGUGUGAGGAAGGUGGGGAUGACGUCAAAUCAGCACGGCCCUUACGUCCGGGGCUACACACGUGUUACAAUGGCAGGUACAGAGAGAUGGUGUUCUGCAAAGCGCAUCAAAUCCUUAAAGCCUGUCUCAGUUCGGACUGGGGUCUGCAACCCGACCCCACGAAGCUGGAUUCGCUAGUAAUCGCGCAUCAGCCAUGGCGCGGUGAAUACGUUCCCGGGCCUUGUACACACCGCCCGU
rnacentral:rRNA from 1 species